AUACUUACCUGGUGCCGGAGCCUCGUUGAUCACCGACGACUAGCCCCCAGGGCGAAGCGCCGGUAUUGCACGACGCUCGCGUUGACCCCUGCCACUACCCCAAACUGGGGAAGAUGGGGCAUGCAAAUUGCUUAAAUCCGGUUCAACGCAAGAGAGGGAGCCAGC
rnacentral:snRNA from 1 species